GAUGAACGCUGGCGGCGUGCCUAAUACAUGCAAGUAGAACGCUGAAGGAGGAGCUUGCUCUUCUGGAUGAGUUGCGAACGGGUGAGUAACGCGUAGGUAACCUGCCUGGUAGCGGGGGAUAACUAUUGGAAACGAUAGCUAAUACCGCAUAACAGUAGAUGUUGCAUGAUAUCUGCUUGAAAGGGGCAAUUGCUCCACUACCAGAUGGACCUGCGUUGUAUUAGCUAGUUGGUGAGGUAACGGCUCACCAAGGCGACGAUACAUAGCCGACCUGAGAGGGUGAUCGGCCACACUGGGACUGAGACACGACCCAGACUCCUACGGGAGGCAGCAGUAGGGAAUCUUCGGCAAUGGACGGAAGUCUGACCGAGCAACGCCGCGUGAGUGAAGAAGGUUUUCGGAUCGUAAAGCUCUGUUGUAAGAGAAGAACGAGUGUGAGAGUGGAAAGUUCACACUGUGACGGUAUCUUACCAGAAAGGGACGGCUAACUACGUGCCAGCAGCCGCGGUAAUACGUAGGUCCCGAGCGUUAUCCGGAUUUAUUGGGCGUAAAGCGAGCGCAGGCGGUUAGAUAAGUCUGAAGUUAAAGGCUGUGGCUUAACCAUAGUACGCUUUGGAAACUGUUUAACUUGAGUGCAAGAGGGGAGAGUGGAAUUCCAUGUGUAGCGGUGAAAUGCGUAGAUAUAUGGAGGAACACCGGUGGCGAAAGCGGCUCUCUGGCUUGUAACUGACGCUGAGGCUCGAAAGCGUGGGGAGCAAACAGG
rnacentral:rRNA from 1 species